rnacentral:rRNA from 1 species
UACAGAGGGUGCGAGCGUUAAUCGGAAUUACUGGGCGUAAAGCGUGCGUAGACGGCUAUCUAAGUCGGGUGUGAAAGCCCCGGGCUCAACCUGGGAAUUGCAUUCGAGACUGAAUAGCUAGGGUACGGUAGAGGGAAGCGGAAUUUCCGGUGUAGCGGUGAAAUGCGUAGAUAUCGGAAGGAACAUCAGUGGCGAAAGCGGCUUCCUGGA